rnacentral:rRNA from 1 species
AUGUGGUACAAGACCGGCAAUACCUUGCCGGUGAUGGUCAACGGCCGGCAGACGGGCAGCAAAAAGGUUCUGGUGCUGCACAACAAUAAGAACUUCGACCAGCAGAGGACCAACUGGGUGAUGCACCAGUACCACCUUGGGGACCUGGAGCAAGAGAAGGGGCGGGAGCUGGUCCUCUGCAAGAUUUUGUCGAGCAAGUUUCAACUAGGCUGUAGACUGCCCAGGCUUGGUUUUGUCUUUAACAGGCCCAACCCAUGA